rnacentral:tRNA from 1 species
GGCGACGUGGCCGAGUGGCUAGGCUGAGGUCUGCAAAACCUCCUACAGCGGUUCGAAUCCGCUCGUCGCCU